UACGAAGGGGGCUAGCGUUGCUCGGAAUCACUGGGCGUAAAGCGCACGUAGGCGGCUUCUUAAGUCAGGGGUGAAAUCCUGGAGCUCAACUCCAGAACUGCCUUUGAUACUGAGGAGCUUGAGUCCGGGAGAGGUGAGUGGAACUGCGAGUGUAGAGGUGAAAUUCGUAGAUAUUCGCAAGAACACCAGUGGCGAAGGCGGACUCACUGGCCCGGUACUGACGCUGAGGUGCGAAAGCGUGGGGAG
rnacentral:rRNA from 1 species